AAAGUUGAAAAGCACUUUGAAGAGAGAGUUCAAGAGUACGUGAAACCGUUUAGGGGUAAACCUGAGAAACCCGAAAGGUCGAAGGGAGAAAUUCAUUCGCGUUUCGUUGUUGACACCGAGCAGAUUGUGUGACGAUUUGAUUUGAUUUGUGUGUUCGCAUGCUUUUCUUUCAUUUCGCGCCGUUUGUUUGGUGAUUCGAUGGCGAACGCGUGCACUUUUCUCCUGGUAGGACGUCGCGAUCCGUUGGGUGUCGGUCUACGACUUGCGGUGGAGCCCGUUUGUCGCACUUUACGGUGUACUUGUAUAAACGGACCCGCUUGUUCUGGCCGACUCGCUCGACGGUAUACGAACGGUCAGGGGCCGCUCUUUGGAGCGUUCGACUCGUGGCAAGCGCGUCAGAUGCAUUUUGGUAAUUCGGACCUAGUGCCGAUUCCGAACUCUGAUGACUGUUGGCUGCGAAGUUCUCGAACAGACCCCUCAUUUGUGUUAAGACCGAUCUGCGGCGCUAUAGCUUUGGGUACUUUCAGGACCCGUCUUG
rnacentral:rRNA from 1 species